GAUGAAGAACGUAGCGAAAUGCGAUACGUAAUGUGAAUUGCAAAUUCAGUGAAUCAUCGAGUCUUUGAACGCACAUUGCGCCCCCUGGUAUUCCGGGGGGCAUGCCUGUCCGAGCGUCAUUGCUGCCCUCAAGCACGGCUUGUGUGUUGGGCCCCGUCCUCCGAUCCCGGGGGACGGGCCCGAAAGGCAGCGGCGGCACCGCGUCCGGUCCUCGAGCGUAUGGGGCUUUGUCACCCGCUCUGUAGGCCCGGCCGGCGCUUGCCGAUCAACCCAAAUUUUUAUCCAGGUUGACCUCGGAUCAGGUAGGGAUACCCGCUGAACUUAAGCAUAUCAAUAACCGGAGGA
rnacentral:misc_RNA from 1 species